rnacentral:RNase_P_RNA from 1 species
UGAGAAAAUUGAGUGAUUACUCUGAAAUUCAGAGAGGAAAGUCCGAGCACCGCAGAACAGAGUGCCUCCUAACGGGAGGAGUCUUUUAGAUAUGGAAAGUGCAGCAGAAAGUAAACCGCUAAUGGAUUUGUUUUGGCAAAUUUCAAGCAAGGCUGAAAGGGUGGUGUAAGAGACCACCAGUCUCUUAGGUGACUAAGAGAGCUUGUAAACCCCACUUGGUGCAAGAUCGAAUAAGCUUCCAGAUAUUGUUCGUAUCACUAUGAGAAGCGGGUAGGUCGCUUGAGGUAACCGGNAACGAUUAUCCCAGAGGAAUGAUCACUGACCUUUGUAUUUCAAAGGAGACAAAACUCGGCUUAUAGAUUUUUUCAGACU